rnacentral:rRNA from 1 species
AAUGAACGCUGGCGGCAUGCCUAACACAUGCAAGUCGAGCGGAUGAACGAAGCUUUCUCUUGUAUUCAGCGGCGGACGGGUGAGUGAGGCAUAGGAGGCUGCCUGGCAGUUGGGGAUAAGGUCCGGAAACGAGCGCUAAUACAGCAUAGGAUCAGAUGUUGAAAGUGAUGGAUCUUUGGAGAUAAAGGGAUCAGAUGAGCCUAGGUCGGAUUAGCUAGUUGGUGGGGUAAAGGCCUACCAAGGCGACGAUCCGUAGCUGGUCUGAGAGGAUGAUCAGCCACACUGGAACUGAGACACGGUCCAGACUCCUACGGGAGGCAGCAGUAGGGAAUCUUCGGCAAUGGGCGAAAGCCUGAUCCAGCCACGCCGCGUGUGUGAAGAAGGUCUUCGGAUUGUAAAGCACUUUUAGUUGGGAGGAACAGCUGUAAGUUUAUAUCUUCCUGUUUUGACGUUACCUACACAAAAAGCCCCGGCUAACUUCGUG